rnacentral:rRNA from 1 species
UAGGGAAUCUUCCACAAUGGACGCAAGUCUGAUGGAGCAACGCCGCGUGAGUGAAGAAGGCUUUCGGGUCGUAAAACUCUGUUGUUGGAGAAGAAUGGUCGGCAGAGUAACUGUUGUCGGCGUGACGGUAUCCAACCAGAAAGCCACGGCUAACUACGUGCCAGCAGCCGCGGUAAUACGUAGGUGGGCAAGCGUUAUCCGGAU